CUAAACCAGGACUAAACCAGGACUAAACCAGGACUAAACCAGGACUAAACAAGGACUAAACCAGGACUAAACAAGGUCUAAACCAGGACUAAACAAGGUCUAAACCAGGACUAAACAAGGUCUAAACCAGGACUAAACCAGGACUAAACCAGGACUAAACCAGGUCUAAACCAGGUCUAAACCAGGACUAAACCAGGACUAAACAAGGUCUAAACCAGGACUAAACCAGGACUAAACCAGGACUAAACCAGGUCUAAACCAGGUCUAAACCAGGAGUAAACCAGGAGUAAACCAGGUCUAAACCAGGUCUAAACCAGGACUAAACCAGGUCUAAACCAGGACUAAACAAGAUCCAAACCAGGAGUAAACCAGGUCUAAACCAGGUCUAAACCAGGACUAAACCAGGACUAAACCAGGACUAAACCAGGUCUAAACCAGGUCUAAACCAGGUCUAAACCAGGUCUAAACCAGGACUAAACCAGGUCUAAACCAGGACUAAACCAGGACUAAACCAGGUCUAAACCAGGUCUAAACCAGGACUAAACCAGGACUAAACCAGGACUAAACCAGGACUAAACCAGGACUAAACAAGGUCUAAACCAGGUCUAAACCAGGUCUAAACCAGGUCUAAACCAGGACUAAACCAGGACUAAACAAGGUCUAAACCAGGACUAAACCAGGACUAAACCAGGACUAAACCAGGACUAAACCAGGACUAAACCAGGUCUAAACCAGGUCUAAACCAGGUCUAAACCAGGACUAAACCAGGUCUAAACCAGGACUAAACCAGGACUAAACCAGGACUAAACCAAGACUAAACCAGAUCUAAACCAGGACUAAACCAGGACUAAACCAGGACUAAACCAGGAC
ensembl:lncRNA